rnacentral:rRNA from 1 species
GACGAACGCUGGCGGCGUGCUUAACACAUGCAAGUCGAACGGUAAGGCCCUUCGGGGUACACGAGUGGCGAACGGGUGAGUAACACGUGGGUGAUCUGCCCUGCACUUCGGGAUAAGCCUGGGUAACUGGGUCUAAUACCGGAUAGGACCACUGCCUGCAUGGGUGGUGGUGGAAAGCGUUUGCGGUGUGGGAUGGGCCCGCGGCCUAUCAGCUUGGUGGUGGGGUGAUGGCCUACCAAGGCGACGACGGUUAGCCGGCCUGAGAGGGUGACCGGCCACACUGGGACUGAGAGACGGCCCGGGCUGCUGCGGGGGGCAGGAGUGGGGAAUAGUGCACUAUGGGCGCAAGCCUGAUGCAGCGACUCCGCGUUAGGGAUGACGGCAUUCGGGUUGUAGACCUCUUUCAUCACCGACGAAGCGCAGGUGACGGUAGGUGCAGAAGAAGGACCGGCCAACUACGUGCCAGCCGCCGCCGUAA